AAAUUGAAGAGUUUGAUCAUGGCUCAGAUUGAACGCUGGCGGCAGGCCUAACACAUGCAAGUCGAGCGGUAGCACAGGGAGCUUGCUCCUGGGUGACGAGCGGCGGACGGGUGAGUAAUGUCUGGGAAACUGCCUGAUGGAGGGGGAUAACUACUGGAAACGGUAGCUAAUACCGCAUAACGUCGCAAGACCAAAGAGGGGGACCUUCGGGCCUCUU
rnacentral:rRNA from 1 species